rnacentral:rRNA from 1 species
AAGGAUCAUUACUGGGGGUUGGGGGGUCGUCCCCACUCUCCCGCCCUUUGUCAUACGCACUUGAACUAUUUCGGCCCCUGACCCUCGGGCACCCCGCUAUUAACGUAGCGCGGCGUCGCCUGUGGGCCGCGGGUCGGCAUUGCAAACCCAAAAAGUAUUGCUGAAGUCUGAUACCAAUUUCAAACGAAAUUAAAACUUUCAACAACGGAUCUCUUGGUUCUGGCAACGAUGAAGAACGCAGCGAAAUGCGAUAAUUAAUGUGAAUUGCAGAAUUCAGUGAAUCAUCGAAUCUUUGAACGCACAUUGCGCCUCCUGGUAUUCCGGGAGGCACGCCUGUCCGAGCGCCAUUACACCCCCCAAGCCAUGCUUGAUGUUGGGCCAUGACAUGCUGUCAGGCCCCAAACUCCUAGGCGCCCCCCACCGGCCGCGAGCGUAGCAAGAAUCUUUUUUCCCUCGCUUCGCGUGUCCAGUGGGCGGGUCGCCGCAGACCCUCAAACCUUUCCCCAAGGUUUGGCCUCGGAUCAGGCGGAGGAUACCCGCUGAACUUAA